GCCACCGAAGCGAGCGAGGCAGGCUGCGCAUGUGAAGCUCGCCUGCUUGGCGACCCGUCUCUUUUGGAUGUAUAGCCCGUUUGUUGGGCUCCCGGCGUUUUCUUGCGUUGCGUCUGCAUUUAGACACCCCACUACUGGGCAACGGCAAGCUGAUCCCGUCCGAUGGAGCUUCGUACGGGAACUACUGUUGCUUACCUGGUGCCACAACGUUGGAUGAACGCACAAAAAAACCUGGAACGAGCAUUUAUGUAGAGCGAAAUAAAUAUUUCCUCAUUUCA